AUAAAUGAUAGAAUAAUGUAUGGAGAAGAGGCCAACAAAAAAAACUACCAAAAAAUAAACUAAACACAAAAAAAUAAAGAAAAAUGAUUCAAAAUCUGAAAAGAUGAAUAAAUUAGAUUAUUGGAGGCUUGUAAGGCUAGUCUUGAUGGUAUAAAAGAUGCAGGAUCUACAAACCCAAAGUAUUGGGCUUUCAACUAGGG
rnacentral:lncRNA from 1 species